GACGUAGGGAGCGAGCGUUGUCCGGAAUCAUUGGGCGUAAAGAGCGCGUAGGCGGCUACGCAAGUCGGAUGUGAAAACUCGGGGCUCAACCCCGAGCGUGCAUCCGAUACUGCGUGGCUAGAGGUAGGUGGGGGAGAUCGGAAUUCCUGGUGUAGCGGUGAAAUGCGCAGAUAUCAGGAGGAACACCGGUGGCGAAGGCGGAUCUCUGGGCCUUACCUGACGCUCAGGCGCGAAAGCUAGGGGAGCGAACAGG
rnacentral:rRNA from 1 species